UACGUAGGUGGCAAGCGUUGUCCGGAAUUAUUGGGCGUAAAGCGCGCGCAGGCGGUCCUUUAAGUCUGAUGUGAAAGCCCACGGCUCAACCGUGGAGGGUCAUUGGAAACUGGGGGACUUGAGUGCAGAAGAGGAAAGCGGAAUUCCACGUGUAGCGGUGAAAUGCGUAGAGAUGUGGAGGAACACCAGUGGCGAAGGCGGCCAUCUGGACCAGCACUGACGCUGAGGCACGAAAGCGUGGGGAGCAAACAGG
rnacentral:rRNA from 1 species